rnacentral:ncRNA from 1 species
CGCGACGCGGCCGCUCACGACAUCUCUUUAAGUACCCCAGGGCAAGUACCAACCCCACCCUUCCCAUCCCCCGGCGGUCACCCUGACGGGGGCCGUCACUCACACGAGCGAACUCUGCCAACUGAGCUGGAUUUCGGGGUGGUUGCCUGGCAUAUGCUCACGGCGACCCCACACUGGAAACAGUUCGGCCCCCGUCCGGGACUCGCAAUCCCGGUCGAGGGCCUGACCAACGCGGAAGAGAGAGCCUUCCGG